AUCCCUCCAGAGGAUUAUAAGUAGAGAGCACUGACACAUGGAGGAGAGAACACCUUUGAUCCUGUUCCUUCCUGGUAAUGAGAUUCUAUGUAUUCCUGAAGCUGGUUUUGUGAUUACUGAUUCGAGUGACUUUUAAGCUCGUCUGGAGAAGAAGAACCCCAGAACGUGAAGGAAAUGGAAGUGCCGAUAAUUUGGACGGCAUUUUAAUUUUCGUCUCUCACUCUCAGCGCGGCUUGGAUCGAGGCAGCGUUAUUGGACUCAGGUCUUGAUGUUGAUAAGAUGAAUUUCAUUUCAUGAAUUGUGAAAAGAUAAGUCCAGAUAAGUCCAAAAUCCACUAGAUUCCCAGACCUCUUGAGCAGAGAGUAAUGAAGCAAUAAAAGGUUGCAUUCUCUGAAUCUCCUUGCAAGCAGACACAGACCUGUGGCUCUUUGAUGAUUCCAAAACUGAAUUGUAGUUACGACCGAGAUUUAGAACCUUGGCAGUCACCAUAUAACACCAAUUUCAACCACCAAGUAUUCCAACAAUUUAUGAUAAACAAACAACAAUCAAGAGAAGAGAACCAGGAGACUUUCCACUGAGAUUAAACUAUUCUGUGUUAAGUUUGUCUCGAAUUUUUGACCCAUUUUGAAGAUUGACCCGUUCCGACAUAUUUUGGUGGCAACCUGAAUGGGAAGUUUUCUGAGAUUUGUGAUGGAAGCAGCGGGGAGCCCAGCACUGAUCUCGUAUGGGGUGCGGGGGCGUAUGGUUCGAGCGGAUCGACUGUGACCCGAUGGGUCGACCCGCGACUUGGAGUAUAUAAUGUACUGUUGUCUUAUUGAGAAACUCAUUGUAUUUGGGGGGGUUUUUCGAGCUAGGGUUUCAGGGCGAGUUUUCUCGCCGCUACUUGGGUGUAAUCUCUUUUCUGCAUAGUGAAAUAUCUUCUUCACCCAAGGACAUAAUACACCACACUAGUGUGUGAACCUCGUUAAA